UACGGGGGGGGCAAGCGUUGUUCGGAAUUACUGGGCGUAAAGGGCUCGUAGGCGGCCAACUAAGUCGGAUGUGAAAUCCCCAGGCUUAACCUGGGAACUGCAUCCGAUACUGGAUGGCUUGAAUCCGGGAGAGGGAUGCAGAAUUCCCGGUGUAGCGGUGAAAUGCGCAGAUAUCGGGAAGAACACCCGUGGCGAAGGCGGCUCUCUGGGACGGUACUGACGCUGAGGAGUGAAAGCGUGGGGAGCGAACAGG
rnacentral:rRNA from 1 species